rnacentral:rRNA from 1 species
GAUGAACGCUGGCGGCGUGCCUAAUACAUGCAAGUCGAGCGAACAGAUGAGGAGCUUGCUCCUCUGACGUUAGCGGCGGACGGGUGAGUAACACGUGGAUAACCUACCUAUAAGACUGGGAUAACUUCGGGAAACCGGAGCUAAUACCGGAUAAUAUCUUGAACCGCAUGGUUCAAUAGUGAAAGACGGUUUUGCUGUCACUUAUAGAUGGAUCCGCGCCGCAUUAGCUAGUUGGUAAGGUAACGGCUUACCAAGGCAACGAUGCGUAGCCGACCUGAGAGGGUGAUCGGCCACACUGGAACUGAGACACGGUCCAGAGUCCGACGGGAGGCAGCAGUAGGGAAGCUUCGGCAAUGGGCGAAAGCCUGACGGAGCAACGCCGCGUGAGUGAUGAAGGUCUUCGGAUCGUAAAACUCUGUUAUUAGGGAAGAACAAAUGUGUAAGUAACUAUGCACGUCUUGACGGUACCUAAACAGAAAGCCACGGCUAACUACGUG